CACCUGGACAGUCAGACAGACAGUGAGACAGAGAGAAGAACAGCUGGAUUAGUGUCUGGACCUGAUGAUGUCAUUGAGCCCCUCACAGUGACUAUCCAAUCACAGGCCUCCACAGUUUAGUUUAUUAAUGUGUCAUGAAUAUUAAUGAGCUAAUUGUAUGGUGUGUAAUGAAUUUUUCUCAUGUCGCACUUGGCUUGGUUAAAGACGUCGAUCUCCUCGAGCACCACACUGUCGUUUAACGAAAACACGGAGCUUUUCGCCAGAACCUUUAGGACCACGCCAGCCUCUGAGCCAAUAAACAUCACCGUGUAGUUCCUGUAGGGACCUGCUGCAUUAUCAACUGCCACAGCAGUCAACCGUAACGGCAAACGGGGUUGAAGCCAUUGGUGCCACAGAUAAAGAUGAGAUCAUCAUUUCUGGGAACCAAAACUUUAAUAAAGUUAUGGCACUCGUCCUGAGAGAGAGACAGAUGGAGUGUGUCCUGGAUCCUGGUCAUCAGCUGAAAGUCCAGUCGAUGUUGGGAUUCAUUUCCGGAUGGCCGACCUCGGAAAACUGGAUACUGUCGUGAAUCUUGGGUGUGAAGAACAGAUGAAGAUGAGUGAAGAUUAAUGACUGAUUAGCUGUAAUUGUGUAGAUACUGUAAUUGUGUCUCUGUCCUUCAGUCACUUAUACUGUCCAUAAUGCCCAGUCUGUAUGUGUCUGUGUGCACGGGUGUGUGUGUGUGCUUGCAUGUGUGUAGACUGUGUGUGUUUAGUGUGUUUGUGUCUGUGCGUGUGUGUGUGUGGAGUGUGUGUUUAGUGUGUAUGUGUCUGUGAGUAUGUGUGUGUGUGUUUAGUGUGUAUGUGUCUGUGCGUAUGUGUGUGUGGAGUGUGUGUGUUUAGUGUGUAUGUGUCUGUGAGUAUGUGUGUGUGUGUUUAGUGUGUAUGUGUCUGUGCGUAUGUGUGUGCACGGGUGUGUGUGUUGAGUGUGUGUUUAGUGUUUGUGUCUGUGCAUGUGUGUGUGUGUCUUGAGUGUGUGUUUAGUGUUUGUGUCUGUGCAUGUGUGUGUGUGUGUUGAGUGUGUUGAGUGUGUGUUUAGUGUUUGUGUCUGUGCAUGUGUGCGUGUGUGUGUUUGUGCAAUGUUUUAAACUCAUGGUAUCUUAAGUCUGUAACUUAGUGAUCCAGCAUUAAUGUAUUCAGUGAUAGAGAUUUAAGCUCUUAUGUACGUCGCUCUGGAUAAGGGGGUCUGUCACAUGCUGUAAAUGUAAAUGCUUGUGUUUGUGUGUUUAGUGUGUGUGUUUGUGUAUGUGUCUUUUUAGUGUGUGUGUGUUUGUGUAUGUGUGUGUUUAGUG